GAAACAUACAUACGGUAAAUCAAUAUUUACACUACAUAAGAGUAUGGGUGUAUGGCACACACACACUGAUGGUUAUGGCAUCAUUGCUGAUGAGACUGGUCCAUAACAUAAUCUCAAAAUUGAUUUUUUCAAUCUGACUGCAUAAUAUUUAAUUACUUUUUUGAAGUACCCAUAUCAAAAUUUAUGUUCAUGUAUAAGGUAUACUUAUGUCAAGAUGCAUUACGACCUACGAAGACGAUCGACGUGAACAAUAAAACGCAUGACCAUCGGGUUCCAUACGAAUGUCAUUAUAGUAUUAUAAUAUAUUUUAGUUCGUCGAAGAACGCGGCUCGAGCAUUUCAAUUGGAUAUUUGGAUAGGAUUAAACGUGUCGAGCGUAAUAAAUGGUUGUGUUUGUUUUUCGUCAAAAUAAUUUUUAUCCUAUAUAGUCUGUAUAGUCUGUAUCUACAGGUUAGCUAAACUGUGAAGGUUUUACUUUAUAUGCUCGCGCUGGUUCGUAUUCGCGGACAAGUCACGUAGAAUACGAUGUUCCUAUCUUAUAGACACUUAGUUACUUUAACACAUCCAACAUUGUAAAUAUAAAUAUACAAAAUAAUAUGUAUUAUAUACAAUAUAAAUAUAUAUGAUGUGCACAUACACAUUACCCCUGGGAAUUAAGUUUAUUUAGGUGCACGAAAUACAAAUAUCGAAUAUCGUAAUGUUUUAUAAUAAUAAUGUGUAAUAAUAGGUAAAUUCAUAAUAAAAAAAUCGAAAAUGUCUAAUAUU